rnacentral:misc_RNA from 1 species
AACGCACCUUGCGCUCCUUGGUAUUCCGAGGAGCAUGCCUGUUUGAGUGUCAUUAAAUUCUCAACUAUACAAGUUUUCUAACCUGUAUAGCUUGGAUCAUGGGAUCUGCGGGCUCUUACGAGUCGGCUAUCCUUAAAAGUAUUAGCAGAGCUUUUGCCGCUAAUCAUUGGUGUGAUAAUUAUCUACGCCAUUGAAGAGUGACAUACUGAGGCUCAGCUUCUAACCGUCUUCACAGACAACUAUUGACAAUCUGACCUCAAAUCAGGUAGGAUUACCCGCUGAACUUAA